CAGAUCAGUGGUGGUGGAUUUCUGCUCUUAUUGUCAUUGUUCUCCUGGUUUUGAUCUGUUUCCUGCUGCGUAAAAGGAUCUUCCGGUGUUUUCAGAAGGAAGAGCAGUUUAUUCGUCAGUGCGAUGCUCCAGACAACAAUGACGGCCAGUAUUAUUCGUUUUCAAGCUGGACCCAAACACAGUGACAGG